GCCUCCGUGGCCUAAUGGAUAAGGCAUCGGUUUCCUAAACCGGGGAUUGUGGGUUCGAGUCCCACUGGAGGUG
rnacentral:tRNA from 1 species